CGGCGGUGGCGGCUCCUCGGCGGCGGCGGCGGCGGCGGCGCGGACGCUCCUUCCCUCCGCCCUCCCGCCGCCUCCCUCCGGCCGCCGGCCGCCCCGCCCCGGCCCCGCCCCCGUGACGCGGCUGCCGCCAACAAUGGGGCGCCGGGCAGGGCGCACGCGCGGGACGGGCGGGGCGGUCACGUGGCGCGGCCACCCCCGCCACGGGCUUUGGGGCGGGCCGGGCGCUGUGGCACGUGCGGGAGCGGCCGCAGAAACAUCUGCACAGACACACCCAGAAAUGUUUUACCAGCUCUCCAGACGUUCCUCAGCCCGGUCAAGUUGACACCUACAAUUAACGUCAUAGCUUGCUUCUGUGUCUGGCUUCUCUCACUGAGCAUCGUGUUCUCAAGGUCCAUCCACGUUGUAAACGAGUGUCAGUGUUUCUCUCCUUUUCACGGCGAAGUGAUGCUCCCGCGUGUGGAGGGACUAGAUUUUUUGUAUCGAACCAUCCCUGGAUAGACGCUUGUUUCAUCAAUUUUUUAAAAUAAGUAAGUAAAUAAAUUUUUGGCUGUG